CAAGUUAAAAUAUUCCCACCAGCUGGGUGUGGUGGCUCAUGCCUGUAAUCCUAGAACUUUGGGAGGCCGAGGCAAAAGGAUGGUGUUUGUUGUAUUACUAUUUAAACGUUUUUGCCUGUCUGAAAACAUACACUAAAAAGUAUUUGAACAAAAUAAGGCUGGGCAUGGUGGCUCAUGCCCAUAAUCCUAGCCCUUUGGGAGGCCUAGGGGAUAAGGAAAGGGCUGACAGCUGCUGCACAACUGGUGAAAACCAUGGGUAGCAAUAGCAGCCUCCUGUUGUAGGGGAAAAAACAGCA
rnacentral:lncRNA from 1 species